CAAAGCGCUUCUCUUUAGAGAGU
rnacentral:miRNA from 1 species